rnacentral:rRNA from 1 species
UACGUAGGGUGCAAGCGUUGUUCGGAAUCAUUGGGCGUAAAGCGCGUGUAGGUGGUUAGUUAAGUCGAUUGUGAAAUCCCUGGGCUCAACCGAGGAAGUGCAGUCGAAACUAAUUAGCUAGAGGACGGCAGAGGAAGGUGGAAUUCCAAGUGUAGAGGUGAAAUUCGUAGAUAUUUGGAGGAAUACCGGUGGCGAAGGCGGCCUUCUGGACCGGUCCUGACACUGAGACGCGAAAGCGUGGGGAGCAAACAGG